rnacentral:lncRNA from 1 species
UCCAACUCUAGUUCACCUUGUCCAGUGGCCAUUUUCCUUUAGGAUGAGAAGCAAUAACUUGAGGCUUACUCUUCGUGCCCCACUGGAGUAAAUUGUCAAAGUUCUUUCACAUAACUCUCCACUUCUAAUGAACUGGUGCGAUAGAGACAAUAAGAAUAUAUUUACAGAAGGGACCAUAAGAACAUCCUGAGAAGAACUCAAGAUAGAAAAAGAGAAUCAAGACCAUUACAUAUAAGGUGCAAUUCUGCGGAAACCAAGGACCUACAGAUUGUCAUACUGAGUGAAGUAAGUCAAACAGAGAAAGAGAAAUAUCAUAUGAUAUCCCCUAUAUGCAAAAUCUAAUAAGAAAUGGCAUAGAUGAACUUAUUUUCAGAAUAGGAACAGACUCACGGACUUAGAGAACAAACUUUGGUUACC